UACGAAGGGGGCUAGCGUUGUUCGGAAUUACUGGGCGUAAAGCGUAUGCAGGCGGACUUUUAAGUCGGGGGUGAAAGCCUGUGGCUCAACCACAGAAUUGCCUUCGAUACUGCAUGGCUUGAGACCGGAAGAGGUAAGUGGAACUGCGAGUGUAGAGGUGAAAUUCGUAGAUAUUCGGAGGAACACCAGUGGCGAAGGCGGCUCACUGGUCCAUUACUGACGCUGAGGUGCGAAAGCGUGGGGAGCAAACAGG
rnacentral:rRNA from 1 species